AGAGAUUAACGAAUUAAAAGCCCAACGAAAGCAGCUAUCCACCACUAUGGGCUCAAAGGCAGAAAUCAAUUAGGCAUUUGACCAAAAAGAUCACAUUCAUGAAAGGCAUAAGGUGUUAAAGAAGGAUUCUGAUGUUUUAUUGACCAACCUGAAAUUCCUAGAGGAAAACACAAGAAAGAUUCAAAAGUCUUUCGAAGAUGAAAAAACAGCUC